GACGAACGCUGGCGGCGUGCUUAACACAUGCAAGUCGAGCGGUAAGGCCCUUCGGGGUACACGAGCGGCGAACGGGUGAGUAACACGUGAGCAACCUGCCCCUGACUCUGGGAUAAGCGGUGGAAACGCCGUCUAAUACCGGAUACGACCUUCCGCCUCAUGGUGGAGGGUGGAAAGUUUUUUCGGUCAGGGAUGGGCUCGCGGCCUAUCAGCUUGUUGGUGGGGUAACGGCCUACCAAGGCGAUUACGGGUAGCCGGCCUGAGAGGGCGACCGGCCACACUGGGACUGAGACACGGCCCAGACUCCUGCGGGAGGCAGCAGUGGGGAAUAUUGCGCAAUGGGCGAAAGCCUGACGCAGCGACGCCGCGUGGGGGAUGACGGCCUUCGGGUUGUAAACCUCUUUUACCACCAACGCAGGCUCCGGGUUCUCUCGGGGUUGACGGUAGGUGGGGAAUAAGGACCGGCUAACUACGUGCCAGCAGCCGCGGUAAUACGUAGGGUCCGAGCGUUGUCCGGAAUUAUUGGGCGUAAAGAGCUCGUAGGCGGCGUGUCGCGUCUGCUGUGAAAGACCGGGGCUUAACUCCGGUUCUGCAGUGGAUACGGGCAUGCUAGAGGUAGGUAGGGGAGACUGGAAUUCCUGGUGUAGCGGUGAAAUGCGCAGAUAUCAGGAGGAACACCGGUGGCGAAGGCGGGUCUCUGGGCCUUACCUGACGCUGAGGAGCGAAAGCAUGGGGAGCGAACAGGAUUAGAUACCCUGGUAGUCCAUGCCGUAAACGUUGGGCGCUAGGUGUGGGGACUUUCCACGGUUUCCGCGCCGUAGCUAACGCAUUAAGCGCCCCGCCUGGGGAGUACGGCCGCAAGGCUAAAACUCAAAGGAAUUGACGGGGGCCCGCACAAGCGGCGGAGCAUGUUGCUAAUUCGACGCACGCGAAAACCUUACCAAGGUUUGAAUCACCCGUGGACU
rnacentral:rRNA from 2 species